GAUGAAGAACGCAGCGAAAUGCGAUACUUGGUGUGAAUUGCAGAAUCCCGUGAACCAUCGAGUCUUUGAACGCAAGUUGCGCCCGAAGCCAUUAGGCCGAGGGCACGCCUGCCUGGGCGUCACACGUCGUUGCCCCCCCAUCUACUCCUUCGGGAUUGCGGGGGGCGGAUGAUGGCCUCUCGUGCGCCUCGUCGCGCGGUUGGCAUAAAUGCCAAGUCCUCGGCGACGCACGCCACGACAAUCGGUGGUUGCGAAACCUCGGUUGCCCGUCGUGUGCGGUCGUCGCGCAUCGAGGGCUCGAAAAAAUUGCCGGGCUCCGGCUCGGCUUUCAACGCGACCCCAGGUCAGGCGGGGUUACCCGCUGAAUUUAAGCAUAUCAAUAAGCGGAGGA
rnacentral:misc_RNA from 1 species